GAGAUAGCUUCAAGACUAAGAUGACCAUGAAAAAAAGAAGACACUGACUAUGCAGAAUGAGAGCCAUUGGAUGAUGUAUUUUCUCCAUUCACCUACCCUCUUUUUUCCCUCCUUCUUCACCUCAUUUGGAAGACUAGAGAGGCUGAGCAGUAAAUUCUGAGUCCCAGUGCCAGAAGAAAGAAAUACCUUUUUAGUCACAGAAAAAGAGAGACUAAGGAACGCAUGCUCAUAAUGUGUCCAUGAAGUGGUUUCAUCGUGUGAUAAAUGAAGGUGAAUGGAGAAUUCCCUUGAGUCAAGUGUGUGGUGGAACCCAUCAUUAUUUUCUCCCAAACCCACUCCUCCACUAUUCUCCAUCUUGGACUGUGAUAUCUCCAUCCACCCAAUUGUUUAGGCAAAAAACUUGGAUUCGUCUUUUGUUUUCCUUACUUCACUUACCCAUCUUGCAGCAAAUCCUCUUAGUUCUACCUCUAAAUAUGUAAAUAGAAUGUUUUUGAUAUCCCAUUACAUUCAUCCUAGUCUGGGGCACCAACACCUCUCACUGGGAUCAUUGAAAUAAUCUCCAAAUGUCAAAUGUGUGCUAAGUUAAA